GAAGGACUACAACCCUAGCUCUCCAGUGAGCUCCGUCAUCCUCUUUUAUAGCCUGCUUCACACUCUCUUAUCUUUGACAAACCCUAUCUCUUACCUUUUCCUCGCCGUCAGGUUUUCAGUGGGUUCUGCUUCCUUCUCUGAUCGAAUUGCUCUGCUGUUGUUCUUUAAUUGACUCGAAGUCGUAUCGCUGGUGAUUAAGAGUCUUGAAAGUUAUCGAAGCUGCGAAACGAUGUCGGACGAUGAAAGAGAGGA
rnacentral:misc_RNA from 1 species